GUCCAAAUGUCAUUGGGUGCAUCGAUGGCACCCUUAUUCCAAUUAAGGGACCAAGUGGCGCAGAUGAGCCAUCUAAUGUAUGCCGGAAAGGCUACCAUGCCAUUAAUGUGCAGGCUGUCUGAAAUGCCGAAAUGAGAUUUACAAAUGUUGUGGGGAGAUGGCCAGGUCGCACACAUGAUGCAUUUAUACUGGCCAACUCAUCACUACACGCAACAGUAGGAACUGAAAAUGAUGGAUGGCUUUUUUGGGAUUCAGGAUAUCCCCUAAAAAGUGGCUCAUGACAUUCAUUCUGCAUAUCCAAUCAGAGCAAGAACAGCGGUACAAUAAUGCGCAUGCAUCAACAAGGAACUGUGUUGAAAGAGCUUUUGGAUUGUUAAAAGCCAGAUUUAGAUGCCUACUCAAGACAGCUGGUGCAUUGCCUUGCUCCCCAGAAAAGUCAGUCAAAAUAAUUGACUUUUGUUUUAAGCUACACAAUGAGGCAAUGAAGCAUAAUCUGCCUCUAUCAAAUGCCAGAAACAUCUUGUUGGAUAAUAACAAUACACAGGCACUUCAAGAGUUAGGAGGUGAUGCAUUUGAAGCCAGAAGAAGACUUGUUUUAAGAUUUUAAGGGAAAAAAAAACUUUUUAGUUUCUAGAACCUGAAAGUUUAAAAUAUGAUAGAAUAUGCAAGAAAAAUAACUGACAUAUGUUUGCGGUUUGGAUCGGAAUGCCCAUCCCUCAAGAAUGUGUCCAUGGGCAGUAACAAGGCUUGCCAAAUUACUGCCCAAUUGGCAGGUCCUGUUAGGACAAAUAUUUCAGUCUGAAAUGCAACAUGUGAUAGGCAGUGGUAACAGUGGUUUCCCCUUAAAAGAAAAUACACGAAACAACAAGUAUCCAACCCAAAGAAAAGAAAUUACCGAUCGCAAACGUUUACCCAGGCUUCUCGCUUGACACUACUUGUGAGAACAUGGGAGAAUAUUUCCCCCCGUACCACUGUAAUGGAUGCUUUUAUGGUUUCGGACAGAGCCAUCAGCUCAGCAUCUGUCCAGUUUGCCUUUCCCCUAGAUUCGCUGGCUGCAUCCACUUUGUUGACAGACGACAUUGACAUAUUGCGGGAUUAUGCGUGUGCCGUUGUAUUUCGUAACUUUUUUCAGGAGAGCGAAAUGGUCUUAAGUCCUAAGUUUACGACAAAAGAUAGGACAGUCACUUGAAACGGUCUUAAGUGCAAAAACUUUUCUCCUAAAGUGGGUCAUAAGUCCUAGGGAUUUAGGAUUAACUUAAGACCCUCCAUUAAAUGCAGCCCAGUUAAGAUUAGUAUAAGGACCUUAAAUCUAGUACCGGGACCCUGAGAUUUCAGACCAAUGGGUGCUUAGAUUUAAAGAACAACAUAAAACUUGCUCUAGGAAAUGCUGAGGUGAAGUUUAUAUAAAUCAUGAUGUUUGUUAUAAUAUAAUUAUGUAAUCUUUACAUGAGAUAUUAUUAUCAGCGGUCAAUGAAGAGUUGAUGCAAUUUUUUCAUGUAUUAACAUCUGCAGAGACAAGAUGUUACAUUUAGAGGCAAAGCCAACAGAGUAAGUCAUUAAAUGAAUUUGAUGACUCAAUUAGUUUCUUAUACAAAAAUUAACAAUUGCAAUGUUGAUUACAAACAAUUUUUUUGCUACAAGUUAAUUAUUAAGGAACAAGAAAUGUACCACAAGAUUGAUAAAAUUCAAUAAAUUGUUUCAUUUUUAAUUCUUGAAUAUCUGUCAGUGGAGAUGCGCAGUGGUUAAUGUAAUUUUUGUCUUUUUUUUCCAUUUAUGAUUUCUGUCAAAGACAAUGAUUAUUGGACAAUAUCAUUGGACAAAGCAAUGUGAGUACUGGAAAUUUCCUAUGUUUUACAGAAAAUGACAGUAAGGGGAUGGUGGGGGAUGCUACAAAACAAACAGUUGGGGCCAAUCAUAUAAUAAAGGCCAUGAAGGAACUACAUGUACUAGAAAAAAAUCCUGAUGCAUUGUCGGAACCCAUGAAUACAGAUUUCGCUGAACUACAUUCAUCACGAAUGAAGUGUAUACAUAACAAGUACGCAUGUGUUACCGGGGAUGAUCCUGAUGAUGCCUUAUAAGUUACAGUAAGUGUUUUUGAAUUAACAGAUAAGUCAGCUGAAAAUUUUCUUCAUAGAAUAAUAUUAACGAUGAAUGCAUUAGCAGCUCUGAACAAGAAGCAUCUAAAUUUGAAUUUAAAUUAUAUUGGGUGUCAGCAACAGAGUGCUUGGAGUCAUAAGAUUAUAUUGAAUUCUUUGUUCAUGUAACAGUGUUUACCAUAUCAAGCUAAACCAUACAAAAACUUAGUGGUUUUAUUUAGGGGGUUGUUUGUGCCUACAAUAAUGCACCAGGGACAACUGACGUACUUUGUUCUGGACAAAACUCUGUAACUAACAAGAGGUAUCAACAAAAAACUCUGUAGGUAGAUAGAUCUUAUUGAGUGGAUGUGCAGUGCUGAAACAUCAUAAUUAUCUCUUAUGAGUAACUUCCCUUUGUUUUUUUUCAUAUUUGAUUUUUUCCACAGUGUAAAUUCAAUUGUAUGAAAACUACUGACUUGAAACUUCACAGGUGGAUAGAUCUCAUAGAAGAGAAGUGCAGUGCACAAGAACCAUAACUCUUUGCUUCAUAAUUUUGGAGUUACUGCCCUUUGUUAUCCCCCGCCAAAAGGCGGCGGGGGAUAUAGAAAUAGUCUCCGUCCGUCUGUCCUUCUGCACUCACAGGACAGUAAUUAAGUGGCUAGAGGGACAAUUGGUAACUAUUCUUCCUAUUUGAUGUCAUUCAUUUCGUAAUGCUUUUAUGUGGCUAUUUUCUUUUGUGUGGCUAAAAAGAACAAUAGAGAGAACAAUAGAGAAGCCACAUAAUGACUGUAUCUCAAAAAGUAUUUGAGGUAUCAACUUAAAACUUCAUAGGUAGAUAGAUCAUAUUGAGGAGGAGUGCAGUGUAUAAGAAUGAUAACACUAUCCUGCUUAA